AGUAAUUGCACAAAUCAUGGCACAUUCGUUCCCUGAUAUCACUUUAAUUGUUUUUAUUGGUGCACCACUUUUAAUUAUUCGUGAAUCCAUUUCUUUCUUGAACUUCUGAGAUUUAAUACUUAAACUUGAAAGAAAUUGUAACAACACUAAACAAAUAACUGCUUUAAUUAGAUAAAACAUUGUGUUGACUGGUAUACCGCUACCGUUUGUUACUGUUC
rnacentral:lncRNA from 1 species